rnacentral:rRNA from 1 species
UCAGACGAUGCGUCAUGCAUAUCAAUAAGCGGAGGAAAAGAAACUAACAAGGAUUCCCCUAGUAACGGCGAGUGAAGCGGGAAGAGCUCAAAUUUGAAAUCUUAAAGGGUUUCCCUUUACGAAUUGUAGUUUAAAGAAGUGUUUUCUGUUGAGGUUUUGGUAAAAGUUCUUUGGAAUAGGACAUCAUAGAGGGUGAGAAUCCCGUAUUUGACCUUUACUUUCAACUUUGUGAUACACUUUCAAAGAGUCGGAUUGUUUGGGAAUGCAGUCCAAAAUGGGUGGUAAAUUUCAUCUAAAGCUAAAUAUUGGCGAGAGACCGAUAGCGAACAAGUACCGUGAGGGAAAGAUGAAAAGAACUUUGAAAAGAGAGUUAAACAGUACGUGAAAUUGUCAAAAGGGAAGCGUUUGACACCAGUGUUGUUUUUCUGAAAAUCAAUUAAAGAACUGUUUAUGACUAAGCUGUUUAGACUUUAUCAGCUAAUCUGUUUAGUUUUGAGCUUUUCUUUAAUGCACUCUUCAGUUAACAAGUCAACAUCAAUUUCUUUUGCUGUAAAAAAGCUUGAGGAAGGUGGCUUGAGAUUCGUCUUAAGUGUUUAUAGCCUCUUGCCUAUGCAGUCGGAGAGAUUGAGGUCUGCAGCGUAGAUCCUUCGGGGCUAAAUGCAUUUGUGCUAAGUUAUAGCAUUUUAUAGACAACUUGUUGACUAUGAUUUGUCUUGUAGCUUACUCGCUUAUGUUAUUUUACCUACGCUUAGGAUGUUGACACACGCGCGUGCUCG